AUACGGAGGGUGCGAGCGUUGUCCGGAUUUAUUGGGUUUAAAGGGUGCGUAGGUGGCUUAAUAAGUCAGUGGUGAAAUACGGUUGCUUAACAAUCGAGGUGCCAUUGAUACUGUUAGGCUUGAAAUAAUUGGAGGCUGCCGGAAUGGAUGGUGUAGCGGUGAAAUGCAUAGAUAUCAUCCAGAACACCGAUUGCGAAGGCAGGUGGCUACGAUUUAUUUGACACUGAUGCACGAAAGCAUGGGGAGCAAACAGGAUUAGAUACCCUGGUAGUCCAUGCCGUAAACGAUGAGGACUCGUUAUUGGCCUGCAUUGGUCAGUGACUUAGGGAAACCGUUAAGUCCUCCACCUGGGGAGUACGCCGGCAACGGUGA
rnacentral:rRNA from 1 species